rnacentral:rRNA from 1 species
CUAAAAGGUAACGGAGGCGCUCAAAGGUUCCCUCAGAAUGGUUGGAAAUCAUUCAUAGAGUGUAAAGGCAUAAGGGAGCUUGACUGCGAGACCUACAAGUCGAGCAGGGUCGAAAGACGGACUUAGUGAUCCGGUGGUUCCGCAUGGAAGGGCCAUCGCUCAACGGAUAAAAGCUACCCCGGGGAUAACAGGCUUAUCUCCCCCAAGAGUUCACAUCGACGGGGAGGUUUGGCACCUCGAUGUCGGCUCAUCGCAUCCUGGGGCUGUAGUCGGUCCCAAGGGUUGGGCUGUUCGCCCAUUAAAGCGGUACGCGAGCUGGGUUCAGAACGUCGUGAGACAGUUCGGUCCCUAUCCGUCGUGGGCGUAGGAAAUUUGAGAGGAGCUGUCCUUAGUACGAGA